AAUAUAUCUAGAUUUGGCAAGCUGCAAGUCUGCAAAUUUUAAGCUCAUGAAGGUUAAGGAAGGUAACAAAAACCUCAACAACUUGGACCACACAAUUCAUGCUGGAGAUCAGAAAAUGUCUUGGGCUGCAUCAAUGAAAUGUUGUAAAGACCAUGGAAUGGAGGGGCUAUCGCUUAAGAACCGUGACAUGAAGUCUGCAAUGGAUCGAAUAAUGUUUG